AUGGUGGCUCAGUGGUUAAAGCACUUGGCUGCUAACCAAAAGGUUGGUGGUUCAAACCCUGCCAU
rnacentral:tRNA from 1 species